rnacentral:lncRNA from 1 species
AAAUGAGUUACAAAGGUUAACCUAGACUAUCAACUCAAUAUAAAUGCCUAGGCUAGAAACACGAGUGUUACAAUUCUCUCCCCCUUAGGAUGAUUCCGUCCCCGGAAUCACAUAUCACCAAACAACUGCGGGUAGCGACUCAUCAUGUCACUCUCCGUUUCCCAAGUGAGAUUUGGUCCAUUCGUAUGUUUCCAGCGCACAAGCACUAAAUCGACCAUCUUGCGUCGUAACUUCAUAGUCUUACGGUCAACGAUUGCCUCAGGUUCUUCGAUCAACCUCUUGUUUUCAUCCAACCUUAACUCAGAAAUCGGAAUUAUGUCGGGCACAUCUCCUGUGAACUUUCUCAAAUAACACACAUGAAAGGUGUUAUGAAUACCCUCUAGUUCUUCCGGUAACUCUAGCUUGUAAGCUUGAUUCCCGAUCCUCUGAAGAACUUUAAAUGGUCCAAUAAACCUUGGACUCAACUUCCCUCGUUUCCCAAAUCUUAUAAGUCCCUUCCACGGCGAGACUUUAAGUAAAACCGAAUCUCCAACAUCGAAGGAUAUCGGUUGUCUUUUCUUGUCAGCAUAACUCUUUUGUCGAUCUUGAGCAGCUAACAUCCUUUCCCUUAUCACUUUCAACUUUUCAGCAGUCUCAUGGACUAUUUCAGGUCCCAUAAACUGCUUUUCCCCAGCUUCCAGCCAACAUGAUGGCGUUCGACACUUCUCCCCAUACAAAGCGUGAUAAGGUGCCAUCUUAAUGCUUGAGUGGAAACUAUUAUUAUAGGUGAAUUCUACUAAAGGUAAGUGUUCAUCCCAGUUACCUUGAAAUUCUAGGGUACAUGCUCUCAGCAUAUCCUCCAACGUUUGAAUCGUCCAUUCGCUCUGACCAUCGGUUUGCAGAUGGUAAGCUGUAUUCAAACACAACUUGGUACCCAAUUCCUCUUGUAGACUCCUCCAAAACCUUGAGGUAAAACGGCUAUCACGAUCGGACACAAUCGUUAACGGAACACCGUGAAGCCUCACAAUUUCCUUCACGUAAGAAUUCGCAAGUUUAUCCAUAGACCAUUUCUCUUUGGCCGCUAUGAAAUGCGCACUCUUAGUGAAGCGAUCAACGACUACCCAAAUCAUGUCGUGACCGUUCCUUGUUCUGGGCAGUUUAGUCACAAAAUCCAUGGUGACGUCUUCCCAUUUACCCAUGGGUACGGGUAAAGGUUCUAAACUCCCAUACGGUUUCUGAUGUUGUGCCUUAACCCUAGCACAAGUUACACACUCGGCCACAUACCUAGCAACAUCGAGCUUCAUCGUGGGCCACUAGUAAUAGGUUUUUGGAUCCCUAUACAUUUUUGUACUGCCGGGAUGAAUCGAGUACAUGGUCUUGUGAGCUUCUUCCAUCAGAAGAUCUCUUACUCCUCCCGUCUUAGGUACCCAAAUUCUAUCUUGAAAUACCUUCAACCCUUGGUUGUUUGUACCGAACACUAACGUUUUGCCCAAACAUUCUUCCUUUCGGUCAUUUUUCUCUAAAGCUUCCUCUUGAGCUUUCUUUAUACUUUCCACAAUUGUCGAGACAACUUCAAUUCUCAACGCUCUUGGCCUUUUCUUUUCAAGGUUUACCUUCCGACUGAGAGUAUCAGCAACAACAUUUGCUUUACCAGGGUGGUAAAGUAUCUCACAGUCGUAGUCCUUGAGUAACUCUAGCCAGCGUCGUUGCCUCAGUGCAUACGCUAUCACUUCAUCCCUUUGGGUCAGAAUACAACUUAACCCAACUUCUUUAACAACGAACGUGAUACUUCUAUUGAUCGCUUUGAUCAGCCUUUACUUCAAUUCGGCUUAAGUCAACUGCUACAUCGAACUUGGUUCUCUGAACCACAUAACCAACUCAUCGUAGUCGGACUCAAUUCGAUAUGACCACUAGGGUCGGAAUAACAAUCAUCUUCUUAGUCAUUACCGAAACGAUGGUAACAACAGAUUAGAACAAGACGGAAUCAAAUAAUAGCUUCUUGGUAACCUUGUGACUUUCCCUGAUCCAAGUGCGAGUCCUGUGCUUCCAGUAGUAUAGAUCUCUACUACUAUUCACACCUACUCAUACUCGUCCCAAGUACUGUCUCGCAGUCCCCAAGUCCUAAAAUCACAAAACAAUUUAACACAUGAAAAUGUGUCCAAUUAAUCAUAAAAUUUUCCUAGACUCUACUAGGACUUCUUUCAUCUGUUCACCUAACAUCGUACGUACCAUUGCCUGCACUCCAGUCAUCGUGAUUGGCUCAGGCUGUGGAUUAUCACUUUCGAACCCACUUUGAGUACUCGGCAUUUCGAUCUAUACACCAAUCGUAGGUGAAUUUAGAUCCUCAUUUUUGUUAGAUGUUAAGUCUUCGAAACGUUUAUAUGUUAGUUCCAAUACCGUAGUCAUACGUUUAGAAUCCUACACACAUAAGGUUUCCAGAUCCGGUCGGCAACAGACCAUAGAUCCGUACAAAUAAUGGCACACAUGGCAAACACAUAGCAUUUAGCACAUAAGGGCAUUUUAGGCAUCUUCCCUAAAAUAAACUAGUGCUCGUGUCUAAAAUAUGGUAGACACUCAUCUCACAAUCAUCACUUAGCAUUCUAAGUUUAAGUCUAGAAAUUCUACAAUUUCUUAGUUCGCUUAAACUAAUGCUCUGAUACCAACUGUGACAUCCCCAAUUUCACGGCCAGAAAAGACCGAUUUCGUUUAUGCUUUUUAAAAUAAAAUCAGAGUAUUUCAUUAAAAGUGUUGCGGAAUUUGUUCCCAAAGUCAAACAUGAUAAAAAUUUAUCAAAACCUUGCUUUAAGAAAUAUAUAUUUUUAUUUCAUAACAAAACCUCGGGAUGUCAUGUUCCGAUACAGAUCAAAAGCAUAAACAAGACAUUAUAAGCCUUACAACAGUUAUUUAUAACUAAUGGCCUAUAAUCCAAAAUCACUCAUCAUCAUCAUCCGACUAUGCUCGGGGUCCACUACCUGUAAUCAUAAAAAGCUGAGUGGGUCAGGCUUGGAAGCCUGGUGAGCAUAUAGGGUUUUCAACCCACAAUACAUAAAUUUAUUAUGUUUAAACAUCAAUCAGUCAACCAAAUUACCCCAAUUACCCAUUCCCGUUAUCCUCACGUUACGUCCCUAAAACAACUAUCACAAGGAACCUAGCCUAAGGAUUUUCAUUAGGGGUGACAACAUUGCUUUCUCAGCAAUUUAUGUCAAAUAAAACAAACACCGGGGUGACAACAUUGUUUUCCUUCAACAAUUUAUGUCAAAUAGGCACGAAGUCACAUUGUCGCCAAGAUUUAUCUAAUCGGCACGACGUCACAUCGUCACCAAGAUUUACUCAACAGGAACUAACAACAUCGAUCCCCACAUACUAACUUUAUACAGUGAUCUUACUAGAUCUAACCUAAAGAAUCGAUAUGAACAACUAACUAACUAAACUGCUUCAGAAAUCCUCUAGCAGUAAACAAGGAUCGAUAAAGAUAUUGAAUGAAUGGACUAAGUUUAACUACGAACCUUUGUUCGUAAAAGAAAGAACCACAAGACAAUUAAGUCAGGGGUAGUUAUCAAUGCCUAGGCUGUGGUCUGAAUAUCGUGAGGUAUAUAACCCCCAGACGCACCCUAUCCAGCAUCGAACUUUGCCUAGGCUGUGGUCUGAAUAUCGUGAGGUAUAUAACCCCCAGACGCACCCUAUCCGGCAAUGGAAACACUAACUAAUGCCUAGGUUGUGGUCUGAAUAUCGUGAGGUAUAUAACCCCCAGACUCACCCCUAUCCGGCAUCGGAAAUGAAAACACUAACUAAUGCCUAGGCUGUGGUCUGAACCCCCAGACUCACCCCUAUCCGGCAUCGGAAAGGAAAACACUGACUCAUGAAGCUCGUCCGAUCACUUCACAAAAGAAACGAAGACUCCAAAUCUCUUCAAAAUAAAAGCAUAGGGAAAAUACUAAUAAAGUACUCCCGUACGCUCCCGUACCCCGACACGUAAUAGUGUCAAAAAGAAGAAUUAACGGAUGAACACAUAGUUCAAAAACACCUAAGGAACAUAUAGUUCAAGAACACUUUAUGAACAUAUAGUUCAAACAUAUGUACCGAUUACGAGUCUACUAACGUUCCACUGGACUAUCUAAAAUAGUCUGUGGCCGUUGUCUAUACUCUGUUAGAUGACUAGAUCAUCUUAAACAUCGAUACCUCUCAUCACUUUAUUUUAUCACACACCAACUAACUACCCAUGUUCUACCCAACAUAUUUGUAGAUAAAAAUAUAUAUACAGUUUAAAACUUGUAUAGAAUAUCAACACAACAGUCACCUCAAAUAAACAAUUAACAUAUUUACACGUAACACGUAUUUUAAGGUAAAUACUUCAUAUCUAUGUGUAAAUUGAAAGUGAAUAUACACUCACUUGAUUUGAUGAUAAUCGGGCAGCAAUUCGUUUCCUAAAACGAUCGUUUUUAAUAAAACCGGGAGUUUUAUUAAGAAACCGGGCUCUGCGAAAGGUCGGGCUUCGAAACCGAAAAGAUAAAUUUUCCGGGCUUCUCGGGCACUUCGUGGAGUAUUCCGGGCUUUACAAUCGAUACCGGGGCUUUGCGGGAUGUUAAGGUGAAGAAAAUAUGAAGAAAGGGGUGAAAAAUGGCAAAUUUCCAAAGUUACCCGGGAAGGCUCGCAGCCUUCUAUUUAUAGGGAAGACCUUCUGAUCGGACGGUCAGGAGUCUUCUGAUCCGACGGCUGAGAAGGCUCGCAGAGGGGGAGGCUCGCAUGAGGGCUGCGCGUGCGAAGGAGCUGCUGGCGGCCUGUGAUUGGACCGAAGUUCGGAUCCGAUGAGGGAAGCACGUGGCUUCUGCGAGGGCUCGGACACGAGGGAGAAGGCACGCGUCGGAUCUUCACUGGACCACUUCGGAUAGGGCCAUGUGCUCGGAUGACUCAGCAGCUUGGUGACUCAGCAGCUUCGGUGACUCAGCAGGACACGUGUCACAUGCGAGGCGAGGGUGACGUGGCAAAGUGUGACUAUGCGAAAUUUCUCGGUUUUCGCGCCAAAACUUCUAAAAUCCAUAACUUUCGCAUACGAGCUCCGUUUUUGACGUUCUUUAUAUGCACGCGUAGCUAAAAUUACGAUCUACAACUUCCGUUUAGACUUCGUCGGCUAAUUUUGACUUUAAAUUUUAUAUUAUUAUUUUUAACAGACCGGGACAGGAAAUCCGUUAAAAAUUCAUAACUUCUUCAUCCGACGUCCGUUUUCGUCAGACUUUUUACCGUUGUGCUCCUAAUGACGAGACCUUCAAUUCUCGUUUAGGUUGUGUCGGCUAAAAAUCGCUCGAUCUAAAAUUCGAGUUUUUAGCUGUCUACUGCUACGCUGAAACUUCGAAAAAUCAUAACUUCCUCAUACGAAGUCAGAUUUGGGCGUUCUUUUUAUCGAACUUCUCGGUUUAACGAAUACUACGACUUUCGUUUAGAUUACUAAGGCUAAAAAGUAGUUUAUCAAAAACUCACUUUUUACGACAUUCAGCACCGUGCCGGUUUUGUCGCGAAACUUCGACAGGUCAUAACUUCUUCGUUAUAACUCGGAUUUUGGUAUUCUUUAUAUCCCCGAAAUCCUUGUUUCGACCACUACAACUUUAUGUAAAGAUAUCGGGCUUAUCUCACACUUUAAUUUUGACGCUUAUUUUUAUUCUUAAUUAAUUAAGCCCUAAUAAUUAAGCAUAAAACACAUAAUUCACAUAAUAUUCACAUAAUUCCUUUUCAUUUCUUCAAAAUGAGUUACAAAGGUUAACCUAGACUAUCAACUCAAUAUAAAUGCCUAGGCUAGAAACACGAGUGUUACAAUUCUCUCCCCCUUAGGAUGAUUCCGUCCCCAGAAUCACAUAUCACCAAACAACUGCGGGUAGCGACUCAUCAUGUCACUCUCCGUUUCCCAAGUGAGAUUUGGUCCAUUCGUAUGUUUCCAGCGCACAAGCACUAAAUCGACC